rnacentral:rRNA from 1 species
ACGAACGCUGGCGGCGUGCUUCACACAUGCAAGUCGAACGGAAAGGCCCUGCUUUUGUGGGGUGCUCGAGUGGCGAACGGGUGAGUAACACGUGAGUAACCUGCCCUUGACUUUGGGAUAACUUCAGGAAACUGGGGCUAAUACCGGAUAGGAGCUCCUGCUGCAUGGUGGGGGUUGGAAAGUUUCGGCGGUUGGGGAUGGACUCGCGGCUUAUCAGCUUGUUGGUGGGGUAGUGGCUUACCAAGGCUUUGACGGGUAGCCGGCCUGAGAGGGUGACCGGCCACAUUGGGACUGAGAUACGGCCCAGUCUCCUACGGGAGGCAGCAGUGGGGAAUAUUGCACAAUGGGCGGAAGCCUGAUGCAGCAACGCCGCGUGCGGGAUGACGGCCUUCGGGUUGUAAACCGCUUUCGCCUGUGACGAAGCGUGAGUGACGGUAAUGGGUAAAGAAGCACCGGCUAACUACGUG